rnacentral:rRNA from 1 species
CCUACGGGUGGCAGCAGUGAGGAAUAUUGGUCAAUGGGCGGAAGCCUGAACCAGCCAAGUAGCGUGCAGGAUGACGGCCCUACGGGUUGUAAACUUCUUUUAUACGGGAAUAACGCGCCUUACGUGUAGUGCUUUGCAUGUACCUUAUGAAUAAGGACCGGCUAAUUCCGUGCCAGCAGCCGCGGUAAUACGGAGGGUCCGGGCGUUAUCCGGAUUUAUUGGGUUUAAAGGGAGCGUAGGCGGCCUGUCAAGCGUGUUGUGAAAGUUCCGGGCUCAACCGGGGCAUUGCAGCGGGUACUGGCGUGCUUGAGUCCGCGGAAGGCAGGCGGAAUUCGUCGUGUAGCGGUGAAAUGCUUAGAUAUGACGAAGAACUCCGAUUGCGAAGGCAGCUUGCUGCAGCGGAACUGACGCUGAUGCUCGAAAGCGCGGGUAUCGAACAGGAUUAGAUACCCGUGUAGUC